UCAAUUUAGGGACAUCGAGCGACAUAAGCUCAAUUUAAGGACACCGAGGGACAUAAGCUCAAUUUAGGGACACCGAGGGACAUAAGCUCAAUUUAGGGACGCCGAGGGUCAUAUGCUUAAUUUGGACAUCAAGGGACAAAAGUUCAAUUUAGGGACACCGAGGGACAUAAGCUCAAUUUAAGGACACCGAGGGACAUAAACUCAAAUUUGGGACAUCGAGGGACAUACGCUCAAUUUAGGGACCGCGAGGGACAUAAGCUCAAUUUAGGGACAUCGAGGGACAUAAGUUCAAUUUAGG
rnacentral:lncRNA from 1 species